AGACAGAUUCCUGGACCUUGCAGCUGUUCUUUUGUUGAAGUGAUAUGGGAAGGCAGCUUUGAAGAAUUUUCUUGUGUCUCAGAAUACUCCAGACAAGAUCUAUGGAUGGGCGUUAUGUUCCACAGUAUCUUUGUAUGAUCUGUAGAUGCAGAUGCAAAACCUGUGAUGAAAGGACCUGAAAAUUAAAAAGCUUUAUUGUUACCAUA